UUGCAGAAUCAGUGGCUCAAAUUGCAUCUAGAAGAGCUCCCCACGCCACCUGUGGGGUUAGAGGGCUCACAGAGUAACCCGUCCCACCUGGAGAAGAGCAAUCACCUGUCCUCGCAGGGCUGUGAGGGCUGGGGAGCUGAUAUAAGUCAGGCUGAAGUGAGGCUGGCUGCUUUUUGGAGGAGUGGUUGGGCAAGACAGUGCUCUGGUGGUCAGAUCAUCCUGAGCAUCAGGCAGCAGUGCUGGCUGGACCUGGGAUGCUGUUUGCUUGUGUAAGCCUGCAAACUGCCUUGUCCUGGCUGGGAUGUGGCCUCUGGGGCUCUCUGCUUGCAGUGGGAAGGUUUCUGACUGCAUCUAGCAUGAGGAGACCUUGGUGUUUUUAAGGUGGAGGGGUUUGAAUCAUCCCAAAAUCUCAACUAAGAAAACUGGAAAGAAGUAGAGAACGGAGGAAAACACAGCUUUUUGGGAGGGAUACCUGAGUCUCAAAGCAGUGGUGCACACAAGGUGCUGGUUGAGCCUCCAUCGCUUUGUACGUGAGGUCGACAAGCUGGCAGAGCAGACACCCUGCAAGAGCAGGGCGAACCAGCAAGCUCCCUCCUCUGCUGGCAGCAGGGAAGCACCGGGCUCCUUGGCAGCCUCUCCAGCCUUCAACCCCUUGGAGCCCAUUCCCCAGCCAGGAGUGCCACCCGAAGCCUUCUGGGAGGGCGAGCGCCAUCUCCCAUCCACGGAGCCCAUUGCCUCACCUUUGAGGAAUGCAUUUGCUUCGUAACAGUGAUAAACAGCCUGCUGCUCAAAUGGAGCUUGUGUUGCAAACCCCAAACUCUUGCUCUGGGACAGGCUUGGCGUGCCUCCUGCUUCCCUGCUGGGCGAGCCGGUGCCUCGCUGCGGGGUCUGCUGUGCCGAGCGGGGAUUUAUUAUGGGGACUGGCCUGUGCUGCUGGCUCGAUGAGUUCUGCUCUGAUCUCAGAGGAUAACUCUCUCCUCAACUGGUCUCGGAGGGAACUUGCAUUCCUUUCUUAUCUCCCACCAGCAUGAGUUAUGCACGCAAAAAUUAGUCUUUAUUUAUUAGUGCAACCCAGCCAACAGCCAUCUCCAGGAUUUUCGGUUACGUGUGCAAAAAAAUCCACCUCCCUUUUCUUGCUCCCCUGGAGAGACUAAUUAGGAAUAACUUCACCUUUCGGGGAAUCAGAUGUUCCUUCAAGGAUGUGAACUCGCAUGAGGUAUGGAGACGGUGUCCCAGAGAAACACUGAGGUUAGUGUGCUCAGCUCAUCUGUCUCUACUUAACGUAAGGGCCCCUGCAGGGCUGUGGAAUAAACACAAGGGCCCUUAUUUCUCCUUUAAACCAUAAACUGAGGCACCACGGCGAGGAUCCUGGCUAAGCCUGCAUUUCUACGGCCGGAUUGGAAGAAAGGUAUGAGCCAGGCCUGGCUGUGAUGCUGAGGAGGGGAACGCAGCGGCGAGGUGGAUGAGAUGCUGUAAUGGGAUGAAUGGGAGACCUGGCUGGACGAGGGCAGCUCUGGAUUGGGUUGAAAGCCGGAGGAAGUCUCUGUGCUGCUGAUGCACGGAGGUGAAGAAUUACAAAGGCAAAGGGAGGGACUGCAAUCAGCAGGGUAAGGCCAGCGAGGCAUGGAGGAGGAUCAGAUAUACCGCGCUAUCAAAUAACCCCGGAGAUGCAAUAUCAGCAGCUCCUGAAGCCACCAGAGACCAAGAAAUCUCCAGAACGAAGCGUCGAUGUGGAGGUGGUUGCUCAGUGCAAUUAAUAAAACCUGACAAAGCCCCGUUUUUGCUGCAUGCCAGCAAGCCCUGCUAUUGCAGAGCUGACACCUGGGACCAGCAGCAGUGCAUGAAGCUAGAAUGAAAUGGGGAAUGAAUCCUUGAACAGGGCAUCUGUUCCCCACUUGUUUUGUCCCGUGCUGGUGUAACCCCAUCAGCCUGGAGCAAAGCACUGCUGCGUUGUGCUGCCCAGAAGAAGGGGUCACCCCUUAAAGCAGAAUGGUGGGGGUCACUUGGCUGCAGAGAAUGGCUAACCGAGGGCAGUGGUGUGGAUUGCUGUAAGAAAGCAGGCAAUUGUGAAGGGGAAGGAAAAACAACCCUAGAGCUGCCAACAGCUGUAGAGCGCAAAUUAUCUGACCUGAGCUUCACAGACAAGACAUUUUUGAUUCCAGUGCAAAGAAAUAUGGGCAAGACAUCAAGUUACAAGCCAGAAAUAUCAUGUAACCGGUAAUGGCCCUUUAUUGACAUAGGAAGUGGGAUGGUUUUGAUAAAAUGAGAGCCCACACAAAUGAUUUUCUGUGCAUAGAAUUCACAAGGCAUCUCUUUGAGGAGUUUUUUGAAGGAACGCAGUUAUUAUUUCCCCUGCAUUCAUCUUGCUUGUCCCAUUGCUAAACGGAAAAGGAGUUGACGGCAGGAGGAGAUUCACCUGCAACUCCACACCUG
ensembl:lncRNA